rnacentral:misc_RNA from 1 species
GCUCCGUUUGUGAACCAGCGGAGGGAUCAUUAUCGAGUUAUUCAACUCCCAAACCCUAUGUGAACUUACCACUUGUUGCUUCGGCGCGCGCUUCGGCGCCGCCGAGGACACUUAAACUCUUUGUUUUUAUAAGCAUUUCUGAGUGGCCGAAAGGCAAAAUACAAAUGGAUCAAAACUUUCAACAACGGAUCUCUUGGUUCUG